GUGUCAGCAGCCGCGGUAAUACGGAGGGUGCGAGCGUUGUCCGGAAUCAUUGGGCGUAAAGGGCGCGUAGGUGGCCCAGUUAGCGUGCGGUGAAAGCUCGGGGCUCAACCCCGAGUCGGCCGUGCGAACUGCUGGGCUCGAGCACUGUAGAGGCAGGCGGAAUUCCGGGUGUAGCGGUGGAAUGCGUAGAGAUCCGGAAGAACACCGGUGGCGAAGGCGGCCUGCUGGGCAGUAGCUGACACUGAGGCGCGACAGCGUGGGGAGCAAACAGGAUUAGAUACCCUGGUAGUCCACGCCGUAAACGAUGGGCACUAGGCGCUUGGGGGAGCGACCCCCCGAGGGCCGGCGCUAACGCAUUAAGUGCCCCGCCUGGGGAGUACGGCCGCAAGGCUGAA
rnacentral:rRNA from 1 species